UACGUAGGUGGCAAGCGUUGUUCGGAAUUAUUGGGCGUAAAGAGCGUGUAGGCGGCCCGGUAAGUCCGCUGUGAAAGUCGGGGGCUCAACCCUCGAAUGCCGGUGGAUACUGUCGGGCUAGAGUGCGGAAGAGGCGAGUGGAAUUCCUGGUGUAGCGGUGAAAUGCGUAGAUAUCAGGAAGAACACCCGUGGCGAAGGCGGCUCUCUGGGACGGUACUGACGCUGAGACGCGAAAGCGUGGGGAGCGAACAGG
rnacentral:rRNA from 1 species